rnacentral:rRNA from 1 species
GACGAACGCUGGCGGCGUGCUUAACACAUGCAAGUCGAACGGAAAGGCCCUGCUUUUGUGGGGUGCUCGAGUGGCGAACGGGUGAGUAACACGUGAGUAACCUGCCCUUGACUGUGGGAUAACUUCAGGAAACUGGGGCUAAUACCGGAUAGGAGCUCCUGCUGCAUGGGGGGGGUUGGAAAGUUUCGGCGGUUGGGGAUGGACUCGCGGCUUAUCAGCUUGUUGGUGGGGUAGUGGCUUACCAAGGCUUUGACGGGUAGCCGGCCUGGGAGGGUGACCGGCCACAUUGGGACUGAGAUACGGCCCAGACUCCUACGGGAGGCAGCAGUGGGGAAUAUUGCACAAUGGGCGGAAGCCUGAUGCGGCAACGCCGCGUGCGGGAUGACGGCCUUCGGGUUGUAAACCGCUUUCGCCUGUGACGAAGCGUGAGUGACGGUAAUGGGUAAAGAAGCACCGGCUAACUACGUG